rnacentral:rRNA from 1 species
GACGAACGCUGGCGGCGUGCUUAACACAUGCAAGUCGAACGGAAAGGCCCCUUUGGGGGUACUCGAGUGGCGAACGGGUGAGUAACACGUGAGUAACCUGCCCUUGACUUCGGGAUAACUUCAGGAAACUGGGGCUAAUACCGGAUAGGAAUCCUUGCUGCAUGGUGGGGGUUGGAGAGCGUCGGCGGUUUUGGAUGGACUCGCGGCUGAUCAGCUUGUGGGUGGGGUAGUGGCUUACCAAGGCUGUGACGGGUAGCCGGCCUGAGAGGGCGACCGGCCACAUUGGGCCUGAGAUACGGCCCAGACUCCUACGGGAGGAAGCAGUGGGGAAUAUUGCACAAUGGGCGGAAGCCUGAUGCAGCAACGCCGCGUGCGGGAUGACGGCCUUCGGGUUGUAAACCGCUUUCGCCUGUGACGAAGCGUGAGUGACGGUAAUGGGUAAAGAAGCACCGGCUAACUACGUG